GGAUGUGAGGACGAUCUGGAUGUGACAUCACCCCAUUGAUCACCAGGGUUGAUUCAGCUGAUCUGGCUGGGUAGGCAGGUGUCCCCCUCCUCCCUCACCAAUCCAUGUGCCAUGUGCGCCCCUCCCAAAGCUGUGCCCUGAUUGAAGAAGACGACCUUCCUCCCAGAAGAGAAGACUGGUCUUUGGUCAAGGGUACAUGAGUAGCAGCACUCCCCUGCUAGAACCUCCAAAUGAGCUCUUAAGUCCUCUAACUCUGAAGACUAUAAAUCCUCUUAAGGGGAAAUAAUAUCUAAAUAGUCUGCCAAGAACUACUUAUGAUGCUUCUACUCAAAUUCAGUUCUUGCUGACUUUU
rfam:Myotis davidii contig103546, whole genome shotgun sequence.